rnacentral:lncRNA from 1 species
AGUAACCCUAUGGAGUCUCUUUCUGUCGUGUGGAAGGUUUGUUCUUUCGCUUUUUGCAAUAACUCUUGCUGCUGUUUACUCUGGGCCCACACUGCCUUUAUAAGCUGUAACACUCGCUGCGAAGGUCUGCCGCUUCACUCCUGAAGCCAGUGAGACCACGAACCCACCGGGAUGAAUGAACAACUCAGAUGGGCCACCAUAAGAGCUGUAACACUCACCAUGAGGGUCUACAGCUUCACUCCUGGUCCAGCUAGACCACGAAUCCACCAGAAGGAAGAAACUCCAAACACAUCCGAACAUCAGAAGGAACAAAUUCCGGACAUGCUGCCUUUAAGAACUGUGACACUCACCACGAGGAUCCACGGCUUCAUUCUUUAAGUUAGACCAAGAACCCACCAAUUCCGGACACAUGUUGAGGAACCAAUGUCUCCAGCCAACAGCCAGUAAGGACCUGAGGCCUGACAACAAUCAGGGACUUUUCACAGUGCCUGGCAGAGUUUGGACACUACGUAUGUGCUGAAUAAUAUGUGAAAUUUUCUGAUGGGUGCCACGAAGUCAAAUAGAAGAUGACUUUGGGUAAGGAGAA